rnacentral:rRNA from 1 species
GCAGUCGAGCGGUAACAGAGAGUAGCUUGCUACUCUGCUGACGAGCGGCGGACGGGUGAGUAAUGCUUGGGAAUAUGCCUUAUGGUGGGGGACAACAGUUGGAAACGACUGCUAAUACCGCAUAACGUCUACGGACCAAAGGGGGGGAUCUUCGGACCUCUCGCCAUUUGAUUAGCCCAAGUGAGAUUAUCUAGUUGGUAAGGUAAAGGCUUACCAAGGCGACGAUCUCUAGCUGGUUUGAGAGGAUGAUCAGCCACACUGGGACUGAGACACGGCCCAGACUCCUACGGGAGGCAGCAGUGGGGAAUAUUGCACAAUGGGCGAAAGCCUGAUGCAGCCAUGCCGCGUGUGUGAAGAAGGCCUUCGGGUUGUAAAGCACUUUCAGCGAGGAGGAAAGGGUAGUAUUUAAUAAAUGCUAUCUGUGACGUUACUCGCAGAAGAAGCACCGGCUAACUUCGUGCCAGCAGCCGCGGUAAUACGAGGGGUGCAAGCGUUAAUCGGAAUUACUGGGCGUAAAGCGUUCGUAGGUGGUUUGUUAAGCAAGAUGUGAAAGCCCCGGGCUCAACCUGGGAACUGCAUUUUGAACUGGCAGACUAGAGUAUUGUAGAGGGUAGUGGAAUUUCCAGUGUAGCGGUGAAAUGCGUAGAGAUUGGAAGGAACAUCAGUG